GACGAACGCUGGCGGCGUGCUUAACACAUGCAAGUCGAACGGAGCGAAUGAAAGCUUGCUUUUAUGAGUCUUAGUGGCAAACGGGUGAGUAACACGUAGACAACCUGCCGACAGGAUGGGGACAACAUUCCGAAAGGAAUGCUAAUACCGAAUGAAGCGGAGGAGAGGCAUCUCUCUUCCGUGAAAGAUGGCCUCUGAACAUGCUAUCACCUGUCGAUGGGUCUGCGUCUGAUUAGCUGGUUGGUGAGGUAACGGCUCACCAAGGCGACGAUCAGUAGCCGGUCUGAGAGGAUGAACGGCCACAUUGGGACUGAGACACGGCCCAGACUCCUACGGGAGGCAGCAGUGGGGAAUCUUCCGCAAUGGGCGCAAGCCUGACGGAGCAACGCCGCGUGAGUGAAGAAGGUCUUCGGAUCGUAAAGCUCUGUUGACGGGGACGAACGUGCGAGAGGUGAAUAAUCUCUUGCAAUGACGUACC
rnacentral:rRNA from 1 species